rfam:Loxodonta africana unplaced genomic scaffold scaffold_8, whole genome shotgun sequence.
UCCUUGUUAGUAUAGUGGUUAGUAUCCCCAUCUGUCACGUGGGAGACCGGGGUUCAAUUCCCGGAUGGGGAG